rnacentral:lncRNA from 1 species
AGAUUUUCCAAGACUGAUAGUGGUUGGACAAAAAGUGUGGAAGAGAGAGCUGAGGACAGAGCAGAGGAGGAAAGACCAUCAUCACCUCUCUGUGAUCACAGGGCUGUAUCUCCAGACAUUCAGUUUGUUUCUGACCAUGAGGCUGGGCCGUCAGAGUCUAUGAGGAGGCACACUUCAGUCCAGCAGCCGGACAGCAGAGCACAUCCCUCAGAGAUCAGAUUGGCUGAUGACCAGAUAGAGAUGAUAUCUCAGCGUGUAGCUUCCAUACUAUCUCGUC